ACAAAAAACGUCAUUUUUCAUCGAAAAUGACAAACCUUGGCCUCCCACGGCAGCACACGCGCAAGAAAGGUACGAAGGCCAGCUGUGUAUGGAGGUGCUAACAUGGAGGAGCGGCAGUGGCUGGUCCUAGGGUUUCUUUGUUCUUUUUGCUGAAGAUAGGGUUUAUUUUCUAUUUUGGGCUUGGGCUUUUAGGGUUUGGUUAAUUUAGGCUUGGGUUUAUGAUUGUAAAAUGGGUUUCUUUUUUUUUAUUUAUAUUUUGGGCUUAAAAAAACUGGAUUGUUUAA